rnacentral:rRNA from 1 species
GCGAACGCUGGCGGCAGGCCUAACACCUGCACGUCGAACGAACUCUUCGGAGUUAGUGGCGGACGGGUGAGUAACACGUGGGAACGUGCCUUUUGGUUCGGAAUAACUCAGGGAAACUUGUGCUAAUACCGAAUGUGCCCUUCGGGGGAAAGAUUUAUCGCCAUUAGAGCGGCCCGCGUCUGAUUAGCUAGUUGGUGAGGUAACGGCUCACCAAGGCGACGAUCAGUAGCUGGUCUGAGAGGAUGACCAGCCACACUGGGACUGAGACACGGCCCAGACUCCUACGGGAGGCAGCAGUGGGGAAUCUUGCGCAAUGGGCGAAAGCCUGACGCAGCCAUGCCGCGUGAAUGAUGAAGGUCUUAGGAUUGUAAAAUUCUUUCACCGGGGACGAUAAUGACGGUACCCGGAGAAGAAGCCCCGGCUAACUUCGUG